rnacentral:rRNA from 1 species
AUUGAACGCUGGCGGCAUGCUUUACACAUGCAAGUCGAACGGUAACAGGCCGCAAGGUGCUGACGAGUGGCGAACGGGUGAGUAAUGCAUCGGAACGUGCCCAGUCGGGGGGGAUAACGCAGCGAAAGCUGUGCUAGUACCGCAUACGAUCUAUGGAUGAAAGCGGGGGACCGUAAGGCCUCGCGCGAUUGGAGCGGCCGAUGUCAGAUUAGGUAGUUGGUGGGGUAAAGGCCCACCAAGCCAACGAUCUGUAGCUGGUCUGAGAGGACGACCAGCCACACUGGGACUGAGACACGGCCCAGACUCCUACGGGAGGCAGCAGUGGGGAAUUUUGGACAAUGGGCGCAAGCCUGAUCCAGCAAUGCCGCGUGCAGGAAGUAGGCCUUCGGGUUGUAAACUGCUUUUGUACGGAACGAAACGGUCCGGGCUAAUACCCUGGGCUAAUGACGGUACCGUAAGAAUAAGCACCGGCUAACUACGUGCCAGCCGCCGUAGUAAGAC